GGUUAAGCGACUAAGCGUACACGGUGGAUGCCCUGGCAGUCAGAGGCGAUGAAGGACGUGCUAAUCUGCGAAAAGCGUCGGUAAGGUGAUAUGAACCGUUAUAACCGGCGAUGUCCGAAUGGGGAAACCCAGUGCAAUUCGUUGCACUAUCGUUAACUGAAUACAUAGGUUAACGAGGCGAACCGGGGGAACUGAAACAUCUAAGUACCCCGAGGAAAAGAAAUCAACCGAGAUUCCCCCAGUAGCGGCGAGCGAACGGGGAGCAGCCCGGAGUCUGAAUCAGCUUGUGUGUUAGUGGAAGCGUCUGGAAAGUCGCAGGGUACAGGGUGAUACUCCCGUACACUAAAACGCACAGGCUGUGAACUCGAAGAGUAGGGCGGGACACGUGGUAUCCUGUCUGAAUAUGGGGGGACCAUCCUCCAAGGCUAAAUACUCCUGACUGACCGAUAGUGAACCAGUACCGUGAGGGAAAGGCGAAAAGAACCCCGGCGAGGGGAGUGAAAAAGAACCUGAAACCGUGUACGUACAAGCAGUAGGAGCCCACUAGUUGGGUGACUGCGUACCUUUUGUAUAAUGGGUCAGCGACUUAUAUUCUGUAGCAAGGUUAACCGUAUAGGGGAGCCGCAGGGAAACCGAGUCUUAACUGGGCGUUAAGUUGCAGGGUAUAGACCCGAAACCCGGUGAUCUAGCCAUGGGCAGGUUGAAGGUUGGGUAACACUAACUGGAGGACCGAACCGACUAAUGUUGAAAAAUUAGCGGAUGACUUGUGGCUGGGGGUGAAAGGCCAAUCAAACCGGGAGAUAGCUGGUUCUCCCCGAAAGCUAUUUAGGUAGCGCCUCGUGAACUCAUCUUCGGGGGUAGAGCACUGUUUCGGCUAGGGGGUCAUCCCGACUUACCAACCCGAUGCAAACUACGAAUACCGAAGAAUGUUAUCACGGGAGACACACGGCGGGUGCUAACGUCCGUCGUGAAGAGGGAAACAACCCAGACCGCCAGCUAAGGUCCCAAAGUCAUGGUUAAGUGGGAAACGAUGUGGGAAGGCCCAGACAGCCAGGAUGUUGGCUUAGAAGCAGCCAUCAUUUAAAGAAAGCGUAAUAGCUCACUGGUCGAGUCGGCCUGCGCGGAAGAUGUAACGGGGCUAAACCAUGCACCGAAGCUGCGGCAGCGACACUAUGUGUUGUUGGGUAGGGGAGCGUUCUGUAAGCCGUUGAAGGUGGCCUGUGAGGGUUGCUGGAGGUAUCAGAAGUGCGAAUGCUGACAUAAGUAACGAUAAUGCGGGUGAAAAACCCGCACGCCGGAAGACCAAGGGUUCCUGUCCAACGUUAAUCGGGGCAGGGUGAGUCGACCCCUAAGGCGAGGCCGAAAGGCGUAGUCGAUGGGAAACAGGUUAAUAUUCCUGUACUUGGUGUUACUGCGAAGGGGGGACGGAGAAGGCUAUGUUGGCCGGGCGACGGUUGUCCCGGUUUAAGCAUGUAGGCGGAUGUUCCAGGUAAAUCCGGAACGUUACUAACGCUGAGGUGUGAUGACGAGGCACUACGGUGCUGAAGUGACAAAUGCCCUGCUUCCAGGAAAAGCCUCUAAGCAUCAGGUAACAUCAAAUCGUACCCCAAACCGACACAGGUGGUCAGGUAGAGAAUACCAAGGCGCUUGAGAGAACUCGGGUGAAGGAACUAGGCAAAAUGGUGCCGUAACUUCGGGAGAAGGCACGCUGAUGGUAAGUGAAGUGACUUGCUCAUGGAGCUGAAAUCAGUCGAAGAUACCAGCUGGCUGCAACUGUUUAUUAAAAACACAGCACUGUGCAAACACGAAAGUGGACGUAUACGGUGUGACGCCUGCCCGGUGCCGGAAGGUUAAUUGAUGGGGUUAUCCUCGCGGAGAAGCUCUUGAUCGAAGCCCCGGUAAACGGCGGCCGUAACUAUAACGGUCCUAAGGUAGCGAAAUUCCUUGUCGGGUAAGUUCCGACCUGCACGAAUGGCGUAAUGAUGGCCAGGCUGUCUCCACCCGAGACUCAGUGAAAUUGAACUCGCUGUGAAGAUGCAGUGUACCCGCGGCAAGACGGAAAGACCCCGUGAACCUUUACUAUAGCUUGACACUGAACACUGGUCCUUGAUGUGUAGGAUAGGUGGGAGGCUUUGAAGUGUGGACGCCAGUCUGCAUGGAGCCAUCCUUGAAAUACCACCCUUUAAUGGCUGGUGUUCUAACGUGGGCCCGUGAUCCGGGUUGCGGACAGUGUCUGGUGGGUAGUUUGACUGGGGCGGUCUCCUCCUAAAGAGUAACGGAGGAGCACGAAGGUCAGCUAAUCCUGGUCGGACAUCAGGAGGUUAGUGCAAUGGCAUAAGCUGGCUUGACUGCGAGCGUGACGGCGCGAGCAGGUGCGAAAGCAGGUCAUAGUGAUCCGGUGGUUCUGAAUGGAAGGGCCAUCGCUCAACGGAUAAAAGGUACUCCGGGGAUAACAGGCUGAUACCGCCCAAGAGUUCAUAUCGACGGCGGUGUUUGGCACCUCGAUGUCGGCUCAUCACAUCCUGGGGCUGAAGUAGGUCCCAAGGGUAUGGCUGUUCGCCAUUUAAAGUGGUACGCGAGCUGGGUUUAGAACGUCGUGAGACAGUUCGGUCCCUAUCUGCCGUGGGCGCUGGAGAAUUGAGGGGGGCUGCUCCUAGUACGAGAGGACCGGAGUGGACGCAUCACUGGUGUUCGGGUUGUCAUGCCAAUGGCAUUGCCCGGUAGCUAAAUGCGGAAGAGAUAAGUGCUGAAAGCAUCUAAGCACGAAACUUGCCCCGAGAUGAGUUCUCCCUGACUCCUUGAGAGUCCUGAAGGAACGUUGAAGACGACGACGUUGAUAGGCCGGGUGUGUAAGCGCAGCGAUGCGUUGAGCUAACCGGUACUAAUGAACCGUGAGGCUUAACCUU
rnacentral:rRNA from 1 species